rnacentral:rRNA from 1 species
UACGGAGGGUGCAAGCAUUAAUCGGAUUUAUUGGGCGUAAAGGGCGCGUAGGCGGGGAUGUAAGUCAGAUGUGAAAUCCCGGGGCUCAACCCCGGAACAGCAUUUGAAACUGCAUUUCUUGAGGAUAGGAGGAGAAAACGGAAUUCCACAUGUAGCGGUGAAAUGCGUAGAUAUGUGGAAGAACACCUGUGGCGAAGGCGGUUUUCUAUCUUAUACCUGACGCUAAAGCGCGAAAGCAAGGGGAUCAAACAG